rnacentral:rRNA from 1 species
AACCCAAACCCCGACGCUGAAUGCGUCAAGGAAUUUAAAAUUUGCUCUAAGCGCAUCGACAUACGCCGGAGACGGUUUUUAUGUUGGUUGUGUUUUAACACAUAAUAUAGAAUGACUCUCGGCAACGGAUAUCUAGGCUCUUGCAUCGAUGAAGAACGUAGCGAAAUGCGAUACUUGGUGUGAAUUGCAGAAUCCCGUGAACCAUCGAGUCUUUGAACGCAAGUUGCGCCCGAUGCCAUUAGGUUGAGGGCACGUCUGCCUGGGCGUCACAUAUCGAAACCUCUUGCCAAUAUCCUAUUGAGAGUUAUUGUGCAGGGUGAAUGUUGGCCUCCCGUGAGCUCCAUCGUCUCAUGGUUGGUUGAAAAUUGAGACCUUGGUAGGGUGUGCCGUGAUUGAUGGUGGUUGUGUUACACACGAGACCAAGUCAUGUGCUGUUCUAUCGAAUUUAGCCUCGUUUACCCACAUGCGUUUCUAAACGCUCGUGAUGAGACCUCAGGUCAGGCGGGGCUACCCGCUGAAUUUAAGCAUAUCAAUAAGCGGAGGAAAAGAAACUAACAAGGAUUCC